AAUAAAUGUUUUAUUCUUUCUAAUAGAUAAAAAUAAUGAAAAAGGAAAGAAAAAAUUAUUUCUUA
rnacentral:tRNA from 1 species